UACAUUCUAAUGUCUUGUUCUCUUUUUUAGCUGACGUAAAGAAAUUAGAACAUAAAGUGGAUCUCAAAUUCAAAAGGUGCACCCUUUGCCAUGAGAUCUGUAGGGAAAGAGACAAUGCGAAAAUUUCAUAAAGGUUGAAUAUCAUAAAUUUGAGAAGAGCACCUUCUGCUCUGGAGCUGCAUUUGUCCCUAAAGAUGGAGGUUUUGAGAAUGACGAUGGUUGGAUCAUCUCUUUUGUUUAUAAUGAAGAUAACGGUACAUCUCAGGUUUAUAUAAUUGAUUCAAAGAAAUUUACUAGUGAGCCAGUGGCCAAAAUUAUCAAUGCCCCAUCAACAAUAACAGGAUCAGAAACUUUGUGGAACCAGGAUAUUGUAUAAAAUAUAGUCAAUAUUUAAAUAGUAGUGGGUUCAACUGGUUAUACUAAGUGAUUGGCAUGAAAUUAUAUUAAUUCCUUGCUGUCUUAGUGUCCUUUAUGUAAUUGUAUGUAUAUUUUAUAUGGAGAGAUUUGUGUGUU